rnacentral:sRNA from 1 species
AUCGCCUUUCUGAAUGAAGAGCCCUCUUCACUGCCCCACCCUCACCUUAGAAUUCUCUCCUCUUUCCAAAGAAUGGCAGUUGAACCUCACUGGCCCCUCUGGGGAGGCUGGGGGCUACUCCUGCAUUUUUUCCCCUCCAUUACAGUCUCCCUGCUUCACCUUCACCAGGCGGCUUUACUUACCUACCCCUGGGAAAAGAGGAGAUAAUGGCCUUAAUAUGUCCAAAAACCACACCCUGACUACCCAAGAAUUAGCUCUUACCAUCACCCUUUCUCUUCUCUCACUUUCCUAGGGGGUGCUGGGUGGUGUCUCCUUGGGGGAAAGAAAUGACUAGGUGGGGGGGAAGGGAAUAUUUGUAACCAUAUUCCCAUCUCUGCUUUCCCAACCUCUCCAAGUGAGACUGAGGGUGUGCCCAGUACUGCCAUCCGAGAGAUCUCUCUGCUUAAGGAGCUUAACCAUCCUAAUAUUGUCAAGCUGCUGGAUGUCAUUCACACAGAAAAUAAACUCUACCUGGUUUUUGAAUUUCUGCACCAAGAUCUCAAGAAAUUCAUGGAUGCCUCUGCUCUCACUGGCAUUCCUCUUCCCCUCAUCAAGAGCUAUCUGUUCCAGCUGCUCCAGGGCCUAGCUUUCUGCCAUUCUCAUCGGGUCCUCCACCGAGACCUUAAACCUCAGAAUCUGCUUAUUAACACAGAGGGGGCCAUCAAGCUAGCAGACUUUGGACUAGCCAGAGCUUUUGGAGUCCCUGUUCGUACUUACACCCAUGAGGUGGUGACCCUGUGGUACCGAGCUCCUGAAAUCCUCCUGGGCUGCAAAUAUUAUUCCACAGCUGUGGACAUCUGGAGCCUGGGCUGCAUCUUUGCUGAGAUGGUGACUCGCCGGGCCCUAUUCCCUGGAGAUUCUGAGAUUGACCA